CAGCCGCCGCGGUAAAACGUAGGGGGCGAGCGUUGUCCGAAGUUACUGGGCGUAAAGCGCGCGUAGGCGGCUUCUUAAGUCUGAGGUGAAAGGUUCAACGCUUAACGUGAACAGUGCCUUGGAUACUGGGGAGCUUGAGUAUGGGAGAGGGCAGUGGAAUGGCUGGUGUAGCGGUGAAAUGCGUAGAUAUCAGUCGGAACACCCAUGGCGAAGGCAGCUGCCUGGCCUAAUACUGACGCUGAGGUGCGAAAGCGUGGGGAGCGAACGGGAUUAGAUACCCGCGUAGUCCCUGUCUCUUAUA
rnacentral:rRNA from 1 species